rnacentral:rRNA from 1 species
UACGGAGGGGGCUAGCGUUGUUCGGAAUUACUGGGCGUAAAGCGCACGUAAGCGGCUUUGUAAGUUAGAGGUGAAAGCCCGGGGCUCAACUCCGGAAUUGCCUUUAAGACUGCAUCGCUAGAAAUUUGUGGAGAGGUAAGUGGAAUUCCGAGUGUAGAGGUGAAAUUCGUAGAUAUUAGGAAGAACACCAGUGGCGAAGGCGGCUCACUGGCCCGGAACUGACGCUGAGGUACGAAAGCGUGGGGAGCAAACAGG